rnacentral:rRNA from 1 species
GGGGGGGGGGGGCGGGGGGGUGGGGGGGGGGGGGGCGAGCGGAGGGGCCCUGCUGGCGGGGUGCUCGAGUGGCGAACGGGUGAGUCACACGUGGGUGCUCGGCCCCUGACUUUUGGUUGAGCCUGUCACCCUGGGUCUACUACUGGCGAGUACCAUGGUUUCGGUGUGGCUGUGGACGUAUUGGGUUCGGUCAGGGAUGAGCUCGCGGGCUCUCGUCCUGUUGGUGGGGUACUGGCCUAACAAGGCGUCUACGGGUAGCCGGCCUGAGAGGGUGGCCGGCCACAGUGCGACGGAGCGACGGCCCAGACUCCUACGGGAGGCAGCAGUGGGGAAGAUUGCACAAUGGGCGCAAGCCUGAUGCAGCGACGCCGCGUGGGGGAUGACGGCCUUCGGGUUGUAAACUCCUUUCAGCCAUGACGAAGCCUUCGGGUGACGGUAGUGGUAGAAGAAGCACCGGCUAACUACGUG